UCAAGAGCUAAAAGCACUUUGAAGUCUGUAGGAAUCCAACAAUUCGGUUUCUUAGGCAACCCUCCACGGGAAGGCUGGACGUGUGGAGGCUGGACUUGGCAACCGCUGGCAUCCCUCUAAGCAAGAAGGGAGAAAUAAAAUGCUCUAUUUCGCCUCUUUUUCCUGGAUCUGAGAACGUCAAGGAAGUGAAAAUUAUGUCAGCGAGGGCCAGAAGCCAGGCACUCUGGUAGGUAGAGGUCAUACUUUGACCUUGCCCCAAAUCACACGGUGAGGAAGGAUGCACUUCCUGGAAUGCUUUUCCGGAUCUUCUGACUUUCUGCUGCACCCCACCGCCCCUUUCUCCUAAGCCUGGAUCACCUCUUCCAACAAGUGCCUCUGCAUUAAUCCCGGAGAACGCGGUUUCUGAUCAUAAACUUGAUGGGCCAAGUUCUGUCCGUAUAACUUGGUUGAGAGAGAGAUUGAGGAAGUUCUGUUCUUUGUUCUCCUUUAUCUCUGCAUUU